rnacentral:rRNA from 1 species
GACAGAGGGUGCAAACGUUGUUCGGAAUUACUGGGCGUAAAGCGUGUGUAGGUGGCUGCGUAAGUCGGAUGUGAAAGCCCUGGGCUCAACUCAGGAAGUGCACUCGAUACUGCGUAGCUCGAGUACCGGAGAGGUUGGUAGAAUUCUCGGUGUAGAGGUGAAAUUCGUAGAUAGUCGAGAGGAAUACCUGUGGCGAAGGCGGCCAACUGGACGAGUACUGACACUGAGACACGAAAGCGUGGGGAGCAAACAGG